UUGUUCCACUACCAAUUUAGCAAGGAGGGUGGGCUUUUUAACUAGCCCCUACCCUUCCUGCUCCCGUUUCUUAAACAUUUUCUUCAAAAUUGUGAAAUUGCCACAAUAUUACUUACAAAAAAACAAAACAAAUAAACAUAAACCACACUACACUGCCCAAAAGUCUAUAUCCUUCCCUUUGAGCCUUACUUACAUCUCCUAAGAUAUCCUCCUCCAUUUCUCUAAAUUUACUGGCGCGGACUUCUUCCCUUCCCCCCCCCUUUUUAAUUUGUCCCAGCGGGCCACUUCCUGCCUAGUAUGGUAGGCUGGGCCAGGAGAUAUGCGCAGCAUCUCAGCCAACUGGUCUGGCUGGUCGAAGAUGCGGUGCAUACAUAUUUGUCUAACGGGGAACAUAGGGGCAGGCAGGGAGUUAAGGGUUUAGAUUGAACUUCCUUCAAUUGUUUUUUUGCUUCUUCUAAUUGGGCCUUAACCUUCUCAUGGGAGUUAUUUAGACUUCGUUGAAUGGACUCUCAACGUCGCUUUUCCAUUUCCCCAUACCAAUUAAAAAAUGCAUCCCACUGGGUUUGAUUUGCCUUGUAAACUAAUAAGGUGCCCCAAAGGUGCAAAAUCUUUUUAAAAUCAAAAGUCCCUUCCCCCAGGAACUGCAAACUUGGAUUAUCCCUUGUGUUCCAAUUCCACUCCUUUAAAAAUUUGCAGGUCAGGGGCCCAUAGUUGGAAUGCAUAUACGCGGCCGGAGUAUCGUUUUCCGGUGCUGGGACCUGCUUGGCCUGUGAGGUUCCCAUGGUCAGAUGGCUUUGCCUCAACACUCCCUAAACGAUCAAACAAGACAGUAUUAUGGCUACAGAAUAACGUCCACGUUUCGCUCCAGAUCAUCCCAUCCUCCCAGGGGGAAGGAAAUGGCUGCAAUGGAGCUGGCUCAGGGGCUGGUGACUUUCGAGGAGGUGGCUGUGUAUUUCACCAGGGAAGAGUGGGCUCUGCUGCACCCCACUCAGAGAGCCUUCUACAGGGAUGUUAUGCAGGAGAACUAUGAGACGGUUGUCUUACUGGGUAAGGAUUCCCAUCCCCUCAGUUUUUUAGAAGCUGUGGGGUCUCUAAAGAACCUGAGUAGUAAUAACUUUAUACCUUUAUUUAUCAUACAAGUUUUGACAAGUUUCCUUGCCCCCCUUUUUUUGCCUUAUCUCCUACCCACAAGUAUAAUUUUUGGACAUUUUUGGUGUUAUCGGCCAUUUUAAAAUUGCAUUUAAUGUAUCGUUAUUGGAUACAUUAAUAUCUACAUUAAUAACUGUAACUUUCAUGCCUUUUCCUCAUUUUAAGAAGAAAAUAUGCUGCCUGUAGAAUUCUAAAUUAAGUAAAUAGUGUAGGACUCAUGCAUGGCUUGUUUGACAAUCAGAUGACCUCCUCUUUCGAUAGGAGAGCGUAUAAUGUUGCCAUUCAGGACCCCACAGGUGAAGGGAGAAGAGAGCUGUGGGAGGGGAGGAGAAGUUGGUAGUAGAUAAUUCUGGGGUGCCAGGGCAUAGGGAGGGUGUGUAUAGGAUUAGAGCUAAGAAGCAGCAGGGAGGGAUGAGGUAGUGAGAGAUGAGGAGGGAACACGAGAAGUUCCUAAGGUGCCGGGAGGUGGUGCCGGCUGAGAGUAAUGGGAUGAAGUAGAGAGGAGUGUGGUGGAAGGGCACCCAGGAAGUGGGCUGGGUGGGUAUGUGGGAGGGAGGGAGGAGAGGUUUGAGGAUCUAGAGCUUGGGGGAUCCCAGACCUUUAACCCCGAAUCCCUAUCCAAGCGUUGUUGCUUUAGAGCCUACACUCCAGUUUUAUUUCUGUUCAGUUUCACUUAAUUGUACAUAUUCCCCUCCAAAUAUUAUUAUUUUAACUCUUGACCUCCCUCUCUCACUCAUUACCCCUCUCCUCAUAUAACCUCCCCAUCUCUAUGCACAGUGACCCUGGCCACCGAUCCUGAGUCCUUGCAGCAUUCUUCCUUCCCAUACCAGGGCCCCUACCCAGGCACAAAUGGGCACUUUGUUCAUGAUGUCACAGGGUGGUAGUGUAGCCUGUACGAUUUUUACACCUAUAAGAUUAUGUAUUGGAGUACAACUUGUCCUUGUACAAGGUUACUCAAAGUUAAUGGAGGAGAUGAAAUCUGGUGAAAUACAGAACUUGAUUUAAUACAGACAAUUAUAAUUGAAAUCAUAGUCAAAAAUCAAUAUAUAUAACUAUUAAGGUAAGUACAAUAAAGAGGGUCUUGCACUAUGCAU